GUUCACUUUAACCGGGACGGCUCCCUGAUCGUGUCGAGCAGCUACGACGGCCUCUGCCGGAUCUGGGACACCGCCUCGGGCCAGUGCCUGAAGACGCUGAUCGAUGACGACAACCCGCCCGUGUCCUUCGUGAAGUUCUCUCCGAACGGCAAGUACAUCCUGGCCGCGACCUUGGACAACACGCUGAAGCUCUGGGACUACAGCAAAGGGAAGUGUCUGAAGACGUACACCGGCCACAAGAAUGAGAAGUACUGCAUAUUCGCGAAUUUCUCUGUCACUGGCGGGAAGUGGAUCGUGUCGGGCUCGGAGGACAACUUGGUUUACAUCUGGAACCUGCAGACGAAAGAGAUUGUGCAGAAGCUGCAGGGCCACACGGACGUGGUCAUCUCGACGGCCUGCCACCCCACAGAGAACAUCAUCGCCUCGGCCGCGCUGGAGAACGACAAGACCAUCAAGCUCUGGAAGAGCGACUGCUAGGCCCGCGGGCGCGGGGCUGUCGGGACGCCCAGCCGGGCUGGCGAGAGCUCGGUGCUCGAGGGGCUCCCUGGUCCAGGCCUGGGGACUGGAGGCGCCUGGGCCUGCGCCGCCUCCGAGGACGGCUUGGCCGAGGGCCGUGUCCCCCGCAGAGGUUCUCGGAGCUGCCGGUGGCGAUUCUUGCCAAUGCCUGUCUUGUUGGCUGGGGAAGAGUUAGAGUCUGUAUUGUGUUCGGAGGCCACAGAAAUUUCUAAUUUUUUAUUACAAAAGGUGAAGUUCAAUUUAUCACGAGUUGUGUUUUUUUCCAGUAACUGUUCUGUGCAUUUUAUCACCCAGUGCAAGUGCUGGACCAGUCGCCACCACGGUGUGUGGGCGCCAGCCUCGCCCACCCGGCCUCAGAGGGGCCCCCUCGUGGGUCCAGUGACCUCUCUGGGGACCCCCACCCGGUGUUGGUCCUGCCCGCACUCGCAAGCAGCGUGUCUGCAGCGUGUCUGCCCACGUGCCUUUGGCAUCGGGGCCGUUGUCCCCGUGCUGCCAGCGUGGGGGUCACCCUGGGCGCUUCUGUUUGUCCCUCUGGUGGUCACACGCAGGCAGCGCCCCAGCGGUGAUAAAGGUGGCAGCCUGGGCGAGUGGCCGCCGGGUUCUCACACAGAGCUUUGCUCGCUCUUUUGUGGAAAGCCUCGCGGUCGGCAGGAGGUUGAGAGGACGCCUCUCAAAAGACAGGUCCGAGGGAUGCGCCACUCCUUGUCCACACGGGCUCGAGGGCCCCUGCAGGCUGGUGGCCUGUGGAUGUGGGGGCGCAGGACGGAGGGGGCCCCGUGGCCGCUGUGGGUGCGGGUGAGGGUGGAGGAGGCGUGACCUGAGGGCGCAGCGGUGUCCACGCCCGCCGCCCACGCCAGGACGGGCUCCCCGCGGGGGCCUGGCGUCAGCCACCCACACAGUGGGCGCUGCCCCUAGCAGAGGGAGCGAGGGCGCUGGAGGCUUCUGGACGGACCGCAGAGCAGGGCCGUGGGGGACCCCUCUCUGCAGUGAGGCCACCCCGUAGUCCCAGGCCCACCUGCGGCUCCAAGACCGUAGCGGUGGAGGCUGCUUCGUAAGGAGCAUCCCCUGCCUGUGGCCGGGAGUCUGGCCCGUGCUCAGGCUCGGGGCUCAUCUCCCCUGGGGCCACUCCUGGGGCCCGAGUGCCCGGGUCCUGGCUCCAUCGCGCUGAGUGACAGUGUGCAGGUGGGGGCGUGAGGGCUGCUGUCACACAGAACAUGGGGAAACAAGCCACUUCCCGCCCUGCCCUUCAGAAGUAGGCGGACAGCGGGCUGGCUCUAGGGACGAAUAGCUCGGGUGAAAGGACACUGCAUUCCCUGGGCGACAGCCUGGGAGGCGCUGAGCUGCCGCGGCCGUGGUGUGGCCUCAGAUUUCCUUUGGUUCUGUUGGUUCUGGCGUUGGGCGCAGCCCGGGAGGAGGGCGUAUGUGCAGGGCCCUGUGUCCUGGAAUAUAGUUUAUUUUUUCUACAUUUGAAUUCUCUGUUGUAGAUUUAUGUAAAAAUACAUUCUCUUUUUGAAAAUAAAGAGCUUCCUGUCUUG
rnacentral:lncRNA from 1 species